GAUGAACGCUGACAGAAUGCUUAACACAUGCAAGUCUUUGGCGAAGCUGUGCUUGCACCGCCUAGCCAAGGCGGACGGGUGAGUAACGCGUAAGGAACUUGCCCUGCAGUCAGGGAUAACAGACGGAAACGACUGAUAAGACCUGGUAAAGUCAGGCGGACUCAUGUCCAGCCUGAUGAAAAGAGAUGCUGCAGGAGAGCCUUGCGUCCUAUUAGCUUGUUGGUGGGGUAACGGCCCACCAAGGCGAUGAUAGGUAGCCGGCCUGAGAGGGUGGACGGCCACAAGGGGAAUGAGAUACGGCCCUUACUCCUACGGGAGGCAGCAGUGGGGAAUAUUGGACAAUGGGGGCAACCCUGAUCCAGCAAUUCUGUGUGCAAGAUGAAGGUUUUCGGAUUGUAAAGUGCUUUCAGCAGGGAAGAAAAAAAUGACGGUACCUGCAGAAGAAGCGACGGCUAAAUACGUG
rnacentral:rRNA from 1 species